UUUGGGUGAUAUCAGUUUUCUUCAUUUUCCUCUAUAUUACUGAAAACGUUACAUCAAAACAGAGAGGGGAAGAAGAAAAAUGGUAGAAAUGCAUUAGUCAAGCUAAAUUCGAGUCAGAUGCAAGCAAGGUGAGCAUGAGAGUGGUGGAAAGCCAUUAUUUUUUUUGGUCGAUUAAAAAACGCCAUCACGCAAAAACACAUUUUUGAGCGAGGUCUCCGUAGCCCUAUGUGUCAAACAUUGUGACUAUUCUCAUACCGAGACGAUAUUUGCUUGCUUCCCAGUGCGCACUUACCCACCAAGAUGACAAGAACUCAUAAUCAAUAUGCUAGAAAUAAAUUUGUCUUAGGAAUAAAGUCCCAAAAAUGUGAUUUCUCGCGCUACAGUUUCUUCGUGUUGGCUUCGUUGAUCCUCUAUCAUCAUGGGGAAGCGAUGGAAUCAAGAGGCUGGAUCCAAGUGAUCAAUGCACUUCAAGCCGCGAAUCAACAAUGCAAUUACAUAACGGCUGAAACGGAUUGGGCGCUGAAGGCAGCUGCAGCGCAGACCUGCGAUGAGGUCUUCAAGGCUCUGGACCAGUUCGGCCUAAACAUCUGCCACGGAUGGUUCGAAGCCAAGUGCCGCUAUGUCCCCGGCUACCCCCUAUACCAAUGCACCGUCAAGACGCCUGCUUCAUGUGUGUUAUUGGAUGCUAUGCAAACACCCAAGACAGUAUUCGACUGUGCGCCAGGCCUCCAAACCUUGGGUCAAGCAGACAGACCUCCUUCUGCACCUCCCUCGCCCAGCUCUGGUAGGAGAUCGCGCGGGAAGGGUAAAGAGCCUGCCUCGGAACCAACGAAGAGGCGUAAUUCUGGAGUAAGAAGUCCACCCCGUACCGGAGGAUCUUCAUACGCUGGAGGUUCUUCAACUACUAGGGGCUCUCCACCUACUAGGGGCUCCUCACCUACUAGGGGCUCCUCACCUACUAGAGGCUUUCCACACGCUGGAGGCUCUCCAUUUCAUACGGACUCUCCAUUCCCUGCGGGUUCUCCAUUUCCAAUGGGCUUUUCUCUUCCCGGAAGUCCAUUUUAUCCGACGGAUCCUCCGGGUUCUGUGCCUGGACUCGCUAUGGAUCCCACGUUUGAUGUGUCUGCUUACGGUGUUGCGGAUUCGCUUCCUGGAAGUCCACGAUAUGCUCCGUACCCUCAAACCACUCCGCAGUCUGGACUCGCUGUAGAUCCUUCUUUCCGUGUGGAGGAUUUAGAUGAAGCAGAUCUAUCGUUCUACUGCUGGAGCCCCCGAGGCGAAGCCUUAAAUUCGGGUCUCGCUGGUGGAGAUGGAACUGGUGGAGAUGGAACUGGCGCCCCCGCAGGUGUAGCUGAUGUGGCGGGAGUUGAAGCACAAGGCCAAACGAAGUUUCGGUGCCCCGAGUGCGGAGGAUAUUUUAAACAUGCGAACUCUUUAAGGCAACACGUGUCAAUGCAUGAAGCGAUGCGCCAAGGAAGGACUACAUGCCCGUGCGGUGUUGUAUGUACCACGACGCAGGCUCUCAAAACUCAUUUGAAAUCCGUGCACAAAAUCCAGUUUGAGACGGGACCCAAAAGUUACGUAUGUGAUGUGUGCGGAGUGGAUUUUAAGGAUACGAAGAGGCUCUCUAAACACAAACCAACUCACACUGGAGAAAACAAACUGCUUUGUUUGCGGGAGUCCCUACAAUUCCAUAAGUGCGAGGAAUAGGCAUAUAAGGAAGAAACAUCCGGAGGUUGGCUUAUAA
rnacentral:lncRNA from 1 species